UAAAAAUGCUUGCGAACAUUUGGAUUGUUCAAAAACAUCCACAAAAUAGACCAGAUCCAAAGAUCAGCCCAAAAGGAUUUCACAUCAUAAUUCAACAUGUUUUAAGUUUAAACGUUCUCCUUGGUACAUAUACAGUGGGGAGAACAAGUAUUUGAUACACUGCCAAUGGGAAAACCCACUGUAUAUACAUAUAUAUGUAUGAAAAUGUGUUUGAUAGAACAAUAUGUCUAUAUGCUGCCAUUGCAGAUUCAUGGCGCAUUAAGCCCCCAAACUAUUUUUAAUUUGUGCCUUUUACCCUGGAAACCCUCGUUACAGACAUGGCGAAACCGCUUUUGUGUCAACCCAGCCAUAAAAAGAAGAUGUCAAGUGACUGAUAGGGCCAGCAUAGGAUUCACGGAAGUUAGUUUCACCUCCAGAAGGAUAACUCCUCUUCAUUUUUUCAACCAGACAUGAUGGGAAGUCACAUACAUAAGAACGGGUGUAAUUCACAUGAUGUCAUACCCUCUUCAGGGUUUGUAUCCCUCUGUGAAACUCCAUCGAGUUUAUAUGGACCACCAGGAUCUACUAGGGAAAAAAAAACAUUCCAUUUUCAAAAGGUAUGAAGAUGAUGAAUAAUUUCAACAAGGCAAUAUGUUGUCUUGCUAAAUGUAUACAUAUUUCGAACGGCACAAAUGCAAUUAACAUUUCUAGAUGAGGUGGGAAUGGAAGCGAAGUAACGCUAAUAAUUCCAGCAACCUACCUGUAUGGAAAGCCUAUCCGGUGUGUUUGUGUCCGAUACAGAUUCAUUUUUUGCUUCGAUACAAAUGGAAUCUUCUGAAUUGUACCGCCUUCUUGGGAGACUAACGGUGUACACUUGCUUGGGAAACUAACAGGUCCAAGGCACGGAUACUCGUUAGCCAGUUUGGGUUGAUUAUUGUCUGAAAACACAGGACACAGAUUAAUGGACAAAAGAAAUGUGUCGUCGUUGCAAGAAUAAUCCAAUCAUCUUUCUUCAUCCGCGAAACCGUCAAACCCAUAUAAGAACACUCCCAGACA